UUUGCUUAGGCAACCUAUCAACUAGCUUGAAACCAUACUCAGAAGCUGCUGCAAGAAUACAUGGUUCAUCAACUCUGCGAGGAAGAUGACACAGAAUUAAAGCAGGCCUUCUAUCCUCUUCGUUCUCCUGGCUGGCUGCAAUCAACUCCUUCGCUGUUUGAAACAAGGGUGAUAUAGCUUCACGGACAUAGGUAACAUCAGUGCCUAUGAUAACAUCAAAUCCCUUGCCAUUCAGCUCCUUGACGCUUUCUAUAUCAUCUUCAUUUCCCCACUCCAGUCUUUUCGUUAUUAACCUGCCAGAAGACGAUGCUUUGAGAUUUGAAGCAACAUUUUGAGUCAACAAUUCGAGUGCUUUUGCAUCUCCAUCAGUGGCAACCACGAGAUCAGCAGAUCCAGUGGCCAGCAUUGAGCAGAUUCCCCCACAGCCACACCCAAGUUCUAAGACCCUUUUUCCUGCAACAAUUGUUGCAUUUGCAGCAAGGACAGAAGCCAUGAGCCUAGCUGAUUCCCAUAGCAUCAGCCCAGUUGAUUUGCAGGUAUGUUGGUGCUCCCUGGAAAGCACUUUUAUCUUGAACAUGUGAUCUCUUAUAAUGACCUCAAUAAUCUGUUACAUUUCAAAUUGACACAUCUGAUAACUGGAGCAACAUACUACAGGCAUGUGAAAUUCAAAUGUCCCAAGUUCAUAAAACUUGGUGCACUAGUAGCAAAGGGAAAGCCAGAAUA
rnacentral:lncRNA from 1 species